rnacentral:lncRNA from 1 species
UCUUAUCCAAAGCGUUUCAGAGUUCCAAGGAGCCUUAAGGGCUCCAGGAAGUGCUUACACUCUGGAUAAUAAUAUAAUUGAAUGGUGCAGUGUGGAAUAGACAGCCCUCAGGCAUCCAAGUUCAGAGGGAACUCCAGGGUCCCAAAGCAUGGCUUUCCAAAGCGGGGCAGAACUAAGAAGCUAAGAAUAAGUGUAUAGUGAGAAAGGGGUUAGGGAGCCAUUGCAAAGGGUGGUCAUGUCCAGCCAUGGGUAUAGGCUGGCACACCCCUGACCCUUUGCUAGGUCCAAACAAUUAAGAGCAGACUUUAGAAAUCAUACUUGGGUCUAGAUGGUGAUUAGGACACCACCAGACUUGAGUCAAGGCUCAGCACAUAAAAGGGAAGAAGGGAGUGGGGAUUGAUUUGAGUAGAGGUUCAAUAUAAGCUAGUUCUAAGUCACGAAUAGCAAUAAUGGGACGAUGCCAUGACUCAGAACUGUACUCUCACACAAGAGGGGGUCAAAAGUAAGGGACUCACAUAGAAAAUCAAUCUACAGAAAUCGAAGAAAAGAAAGAAAGCAUAACAGGUUCAGGGCGCAGAAACAUAAGGAAAGAGGCAUAACGGUCUAGGAUGAACACAUAGUGAAGAAUGCAUAACAGAAGAGAAGAAAUAAACUAGUUUAGAGGGUAUUAUUUAACUAGAACGACAUACCACAUUCAUUUUUUAGAACAGCAAAACAAAAAAAGCAAGUAACAGCCAGAAGUCAGCAGGAUCAAAAAUCCAAAUUCCUCUGCAAGCACUUGAGAGUACAAGAGAAACUCAAGAAUGUUUCAGCCAAUACAAGGAGAAGAAAGGCAGAGUGCUCAGUUUUAGAAGUAGAGAAAGUAGUAGUAGAGCGAGUAUUUGCAACUGUAUAGUGUUCAAUAGUGAAAAGUAUUCG